AUACGUAGGGGGCGAGCGUUGUCCGGAAUGAUUGGGCGUAAAGGGCGCGUAGGCGGCGCGGUAAGUCUGGAGUGAAAGUCCUGCUUUCAAGGUGGGAAUUGCUUUGGAUACUGCCGCGCUUGAGUGCAGGAGAGGUUAUCGGAAUUCCCGGUGUAGCGGUGAAAUGCGUAGAGAUCGGGAGGAACACCAGUGGCGAAGGCGGGUAACUGGACUGCAACUGACGCUGUGGCGCGAAAGUGUGGGGAGCAAACAGGAUUAGAUACCCUGGUAGUCCACACUGUAAACGAUGAAUGCUAGGUGUAAGAGGUAUCGACCCCUUUUGUGCCGGAGUCAACACAAUAAGCAUUCCGCCUGGGGAGUACGGCCGCAAGGUUGAAACUCAAAGGAAUUGACGGGG
rnacentral:rRNA from 1 species